rnacentral:rRNA from 1 species
UACGUAGGCAGCAAGCGUUGUUCGGAAUUACUGGGCGUAAAGCGCACGUAGGCGGCUUUCUAAGUCGGGGGUGAAAUCCUGGAGCUCAACUCCAGAACUGCCUUCGAUACUGGAGAGCUUGAGUCCGGGAGAGGUGAGUGGAACUGCGAGUGUAGAGGUGAAAUUCGUAGAUAUUCGCAAGAACACCAGUGGCGAAGGCGGCUUCCUGGCCUGUUCUUGACGCUGAGGCGCGAAAGCUAGGGUAGCAAACGGG